ACUUCUUUGCCGCCGGGUAAAGGAGUUUUGGCGCCAGACUUUCUAUCGUUAGGCCAUUGAAGAUAGAAAGCGCUGGCGCUUUUUAUGU
rnacentral:ncRNA from 1 species